rnacentral:rRNA from 1 species
UACAGAGGUCUCAAGCGUUGUUCGGAUUCAUUGGGCGUAAAGGGUGCGUAGGCGGCGCGGUAAGUCGGGUGUGAAAUCUUGGAGCUUAACUCCGAAACUGCAUUCGAUACUGCCGUGCUUGAGGACUGGAGAGGAGACUGGAAUUUACGGUGUAGCGGUGAAAUGCGCAGAUAUCAGGAGGAACACCAACGGCGAAGGCAGCACUCUGGGCCGGUACUGACGCUGAGGAGCGAAAGCGUGGGGAGCAAACAGG